CAGUCGCCACGGGAAUACGUAGGUGGCGAGCGUUGUCCGGAUUUAUUGGGCGUAAAGGGAGUGUAGGCGGUCUUUUAAGUCUGAUGUGAAAGCCCACGGCUCAACCGUGGAGGGUCAUUGGAAACUGGGAGACUUGAGUGCAGAAGAGGAGAGUGGAAUUCCACGUGUAGCGGUGAAAUGCGUAGAGAUCGGAAAGAACACCAACGGCGAAAGCACUCUGCUGGGCCGACACUGACACUGAGAGACGAAAGCUAGGGGAGCAAAUGGGAUUAGAUACCCCCGUAGUCCCUGUCUCUUAUAC
rnacentral:rRNA from 1 species